AGGUCCAACCCAACACCAAUAAUUGAGUCCGCANUCUGAGUANGCCUANCGCCUUGAAUGUUUGAACAAGUUAAAACUUUCAACAACGGAUCUCUUGGCUCUUGCAUCGAUGAAGAACGCAGCGAAAUGCGAUAAGUAAUGUGAAUUGCAGAAUUCAGUGAAUCAUCGAAUCUUUGAACGCACAUUGCGCCUCUUGGUAUUCCUUGAGGCAUGCCUGUUCGAGCGUCACUACAAACCCUCUCAUAGUUAUUAUGGUAUUGAUGGAAGUGAACUGUGUCUAUUGAUGUACUCACACCACUCCAUUGAAAUGAAUAGGCAGGACAAGUGACAACUGCAAUGGACUUAGUAAAUGGUUUUCAGACAUGGACCAGUUCUUUGCUAUGUUGUACAGCCUGUAUCCAUGGACUCCCAUCCAGUAAGCACUUUGGGUUGACCUCGAAUCAGGUAGGGAUACCCGCUGAACUUAAGCAUAUCAAUAAGCGGAGGAAAAGAAACCAACAGGGAUUGCCCCAGUAACGGCGAGUGAAGCGGCAAAAGCUCAAAUUUGAAAUCUGGCACCCCUGGUGUCUGAGUUGUAAUUUGGAGAGGCAUCUUCCGGAGGGACCCAGCCUAUGUUCCUUGGAACAGGACAUCACAGAGGGUGAGAAUCCCGUUUAUGGCUGGAUGUAUCCUCCAGUCGGUAGUGCCUUCUACGAGUCGAGUUGUUUGGGAAUGCAGCUCAAAAUGGGUGGUAAAUUUCAUCUAAAGCUAAAUAUUGGCGAGAGACCGAUAGCGCACAAGUAGAGUGAUCGAAAGAUGAAAAGCACUUUGAAAAUAGAGUCNAACAGUACGUGAAAU
rnacentral:rRNA from 1 species